CGCGUAGGGUCCAAGCGUUGUCCGGAUUUAUUGGGCGUAAAGAGCUCGUAGGCGGCUUGGUAAGUCGAGUGUGAAAACUCUGGGCUCAACUCAGAGACGCCACUCGAUACUGCCAUGGCUUGAGUCCGGUAGGGGAGUGUGGAAUUCCCGGUGUAGCGGUGAAAUGCGCAGAUAUCGGGAGGAACACCAGUAGCGAAGGCGGCACUCUGGGCCGGAACUGACGCUGAGGCGCGAAAGCGUGGGGAGCAAACAGG
rnacentral:rRNA from 1 species